GUUUGAUCCUGGCUCAGAGCGAACGCUAGCGGAUGGCUUAACACAUGCAAGUCGAGCGGGCAGCUUCGGCUGUCUAGCGGCGAACGGGUGCGUAACACGUGGGUAAUCUGCCUUCUGGUGGGGGAUAACCCGACGAAAGUCGGGCUAAUACCGCAUAUGGCCUAUGGGUCAAAGCAGCAAUGCGCCAGUUGAUGAGCCCGCGGCCCAUUAUUUAAUCCUAGUUGGCGGGGUAAUGGCCCACCAAGGGUACGAUGGGUAGCUGGUCUGAGAGGACGAUCAGCCACACUGGGACUGAGACACGGCCCAGACUCCUACGGGAGGCAGCAGUGGGGAAUAUUGCGCAAUGGGCGAAAGCCUGACGCAGCCAAUCCGCGUGGGUGAUGAAGGCCUCGGUUGUAAGCCUCGUCGUGAGGGACGAA
rnacentral:rRNA from 1 species